UAUGUAAGGAUUUUCUUACAAAUAGUACUUGUAUUUAAAUGAUGUUUUCUUAAAUUUUUUUGGGUCUAUUA
rnacentral:tRNA from 1 species